GACAGAGGGUGCAAACGUUGUUCGGAAUUACUGGGCGUAAAGCGCGUGUAGGCGGCUUGAUCAGUCAGACGUGAAAUCCCUCGGCUUAACCGAGGAACUGCGUCUGAUACUGUCAGGCUUGAGUGUCGGAGGGGAUGGCGGAAUUCCUGGUGUAGAGGUGAAAUUCGUAGAUAUCAGGAGGAACAUCCGUGGCGAAGGCGGCCAUCUGGAAGACAACUGACGCUGAGACGCGAAAGCGUGGGUAGCAAACAGG
rnacentral:rRNA from 1 species